GAUGAACGCUGGCGGCGUGCCUAAUACAUGCAAGUCGAACGCUGGAAAUCUAGCUUGCUAGAUUGAAGGAGUGGCGAACGGGUGAGUAAUACAUAAGCAACCUACCCACGAAGACUGGGAUAAUCUCUGGAAACGGGGACUAAUACCGGAUAGGUAAUCGGAAGGCAUCUUCUGAUUAUUAAAGGUUAAAAACACUGGUGGAUGGGCUUAUGGCGCAUUAGUUAGUUGGUGAGGUAACGGCCCACCAAGACGAUGAUGCGUAGCCGGCCUGAGAGGGUGAACGGCCACAUUGGGACUGAGACACGGCCCAGACUCCUACGGGAGGCAGCAGUAGGGAAUUUUCGGCAAUGGGGGAAACCCUGACCGAGCAACGCCGCGUGAGUGAUGACGGCCUUCGGGGUGUAAAGCUCUGUUGUAAGGGAAGAACGGUAGAUAGAGAAUAUCUAAAUGACGGUACCUUACCAGAAAGCCACGGCUAACUACAUG
rnacentral:rRNA from 1 species